GACGAACGCUGGCGGCGUGCUUAACACAUGCAAGUCGAGCGGAAAGGCCCUUCGGGGUACUCGAGCGGCGAACGGGUGAGUAACACGUGAGUAAUCUGCCCUGUGCUUCGGGAUAGCCACCGGAAACGGUGAUUAAUACCGGAUAUGACCACUUCCUGCAUGGGAUGGUGGUGGAAAGUUUUUCGGCGCAGGAUGUGCUCGCGGCCUAUCAGCUUGUUGGUGGGGUAAUGGCCUACCAAGGCUUCGACGGGUAGCCGGCCUGAGAGGGUGACCGGCCACACUGGGACUGAGACACGGCCCAGACUCCUACGGGAGGCAGCAGUGGGGAAUAUUGGACAAUGGGCGGAAGCCUGAUCCAGCAACGCCGCGUGGGGGAUGACGGCCUUCGGGUUGUAAACCUCUUUCAGUACCGACGAAGCGAGAGUGACGGUAGGUACAGAAGAAGCACCGGCCAACUACGUGCCAGCAGCCGCCGUAACAC
rnacentral:rRNA from 1 species